GGACGCCUCUCCCUAUCCUGUGGUCAUACAAAGCAUCUGAGAUUUUCCUCGUAUCUAUCUUUUCACCAGUAUGACUCUGCAUUAGCUAUUUGUCCAGAGAGAAAGUAGGUGAAUGUUGAUUAUUUGUUUGGUACCUAUUCCCCCAAGAGGGGUGCUAGUGUCCUGAUGCUGACCAGGAGCACCGGUUCCGCCACUUGCUUCCUGCUGGAGUCUUAGCACCAACUGGAUGAGGGGACUCCUCUCCGUUUUGAAUUCCUGGCUCUCCAUGGCUUUGAAGUAAUAUGAUGUGGGGUCCUCAAAUGCUGCCAGAACUUGAAGGCCCAUUGCAUCUUGAGGCCUUUUGGACAGAGGAGAGGAGGACCGAGCUGGUUAACCUCUACACAAAUAGAUGCACGUCAAGUGAUGCUUGGGGGAGUGAGACCGCCGGUAUACCCACCUACAGUAUAUUGAUCCCGACAUCAGUGCCACAUAUUUCUUGAUGGCAAUUGGUCGACUUGUAAAAAAAAAGCAUGAUCUCCACUGGCCGUUCCAUUCGAGUAGGAUCAUGACCAGUCUGAAGAGCGGGUAGGUGAGGACACUGUUCUGCUUAAGGAACCAUCCCAGAGGCCCGUCUGACACUUUCUCUAGAAGACAGGUGAUGACUCUACGCAGGAUUUUUGGGUGAUGGGACACAUUGUGACUAUAGUGCACCAGGUGUUUUACCUACAGGUACAGUGGACCCAUCAGUGGACCCAGCCCAAACUCCCCAGCUGACCAUAAUGGAACCAGUGACACAGAGAGAUCCAGACUGCAUCCUGCCAGCACUCUCAUUCUCUCCCUCUCUUUCCCUCCCUCCCUCUUUUACUCUCUUUCUCUCCCACCUGCCCUUUCUCUUUCUUUCUCUCCUUCCUUCUCUCUCCCUUUCUCUUUUUUGAAUUCCCCCUUCUGUCUUUCUCUCCCUUCUUCUAUCCCUCUCUUUCUCUCUAGCUCCCUCCCUCUCCAUCUCUCUCUCUCUCUCUCUCUCUCUCUCUCUCUCUCUCGCUCUCUCAUGGUAAUUCAUGCAUUGGCUGAAGGGGGGGGAGUGGGGGUUUGUUAUGUUUAUUGUUUAGACAUUAUUGGGUUGCUUGAUGUAUGUACUUGUUGUUACUGUUGGCAACAAUGCUGUGUUGAUAUUAACGUUGUAACAGAUAAAAUAAAUAAAAACAAAUAAUGAUUCAAGAAAUGGUCAAAAUAUGUUUUCCUGCGACCUUGUGCUAGUUAUCUAGGAGAAGAGCAGAAGUUCAGGUGAAGCCAGAAACUGUGGUACUACAGGCAGCAGCAUUGUGAGUUCAGGUGAAGUUCAGGAACUGUGGUGCAGGCAGCAGCAUCGCACCAUAUUUGUGUCUUGGGAAACUCCGGUAAGGUGGAUGAUGAGGAAGGUAGACACUGGUGAACUCAGAGAAGGUGGAUGAUGAGGAAGGUAGACACUGGUAAACUCAGAGAAGGUGGGUGAUGAGGAAGGUAGACACUGGUAAACUCAGAGAAGGUGGAUGAUGAGGAAGGUAGACACUGGUGAACUCAGAGA